UGUGAAAUUUUCAUUAAGGCAAAAAAGAAAAACCCUCUCAUUGACUAGGCCUUGAUCAUUAGGUCAUUAUCAACUGACAUACAGGCAUUUCCCUUUGCAGUUGUAAUUCAUUAGAGUGGUUAGCUGCCCACCAUUGCAGUUUGCAAUUCUGUCUUCUAAACUUCAAAUAUGCUAAACUUUUAACAUUUUUCCUUUUAACAAAGAUAAAUUUAAGAUUCAAUAAUAAUAAUAAUAAUAAUAAUAAUAAUAAUAGUAAUUCAGAGCAUCAUGAAUUUUGCCUGCCAAGUGAAAAAUAGUUCAUCACAAAACUGAAAAUUUGGAAUUGGUGUUUUCAGAGCUUCACCCUUGUAUCUGUUGUUUCUGUGCCCCAUCUGCAUUCCUAAAAUGAUCGAUAUGAACAAAAGAGUCAGAUGUUGUAUUAGUAGCUGAAGAGGAACUACUAUGCAAAACCAGAAUGUCAUGGCAGCAAAAUGGAAUACAAUGCACAUGCUAUGUACAUUCAACAGUUCUCUUCAGUCUUCAUCUUAUAUUCCCUAACACAUCAUUUAACAUACAUGAUUUUUGAGGCAGAGGCCAUGUGAAAAAAUGCUGCAAAAUGUUGGCUGCGAUGAAAUUAUGGCAUGGUUCUCAGCCCAUUU
rnacentral:lncRNA from 1 species